CAUGAAUCACUAGUACAUGUAAAGCACUUAGAACAACAGUGCCUAGAAUAUAGCUCAAUAGAUGAUAGUUUUUACUAAUAGUAGUAAUCCUUUUCAUAACAGAAAGCAGCAGCUACAAAUUUAUCAACUCACUGUUUAGAAUACAUCUGAUUAGCUUGAAGUUUAAAAAUCCACUGAGCAAUUAGACAUCAUGAAAUCUAUACUUAUUUCUCAGGACCUCAGGCUUUCACUGCAAAUCUCUACUCUUGCUCUACAAACAGGUCUGAUGUACUUGAAUAUCUAGUUUCUAGGCACACAAUGGGUUUGACAAGGAGAAAAAGGUAGUUCUAUCAGUAGCAGCAGUAAAUAGCUGACAGAAUUAUGAAAAAAGGUAAACAUAUAUUCCCACAAAAUAUAGCAGUCUAAGCCUCUAAACAGUACAAAUGAGGACAGUGUAGCAGUUUAUGUUCAUAAAAUUAUGACCCUGCAUCAGCCCAAAUUAUGAUUGUAAAUCCAAGUCUGACUAAGCAGAUUUUUUUUUUUUUUUUUUUUUUUGAGACGGAAUUUUCCUCUUGUUGCCCAGGCUGGAGUGCAGUGGCGUGAUCUUGGCUCACCACAACCUCCGCCUCCCGGGUUCAAGCAAUUCUCCUGCGUCAGCCUCCUGAGCAGCUGGGAUUACAGGCAUGCACCACCACAUCCUGCUAAUUUUGUAUUUUUAGUAGAGACAGGGUUUCUCCAUGUUGGUCAGACUGGUCUUGAACUCCUGACCUCAGGUGAUCCACCCGCCUUGGCCUCUCAAAGUGCUGGGAUUACAGGCGUGAGGCACCGUGCCUGGCCUAAGCAGAAAAUUUUUAUUAGAAAGCUAUCUGGUAGCUCACUAAAUGGACAGGAAAGUUGAAAUAAGCCAGGCUCAUAAAAAGAUGAAAUCUACAUAAGAUGUUAUGAUUCCUCCGCUGCUGUUAGACUGAUUUCUUGAUUGUCCCUGUGUCUGUGAGUCACCACACUUAAGAUGCAAACUUCUGGUUGGCACUGUGUGUCUUCAUUGCCAAGGGCAGAAGGAGUAUCUGGGCCUUUCAGCUUCUACAGUGGAAGGACGCUGCCGCUGUGCAGAUGCUCACAGUACCCCAGGUAAGAAGGAUGCUUAGAUGCUGGAUUGCAAAAAAUGUACAGCUGUCUACUACAACCCCAAAUCUUUAAAAAAAAAAAAAAAAGCUGCUAUUCUAUUGCACAAGUGCAGGCAUGGAAUAAGCAAACAGUUGGAUUUAAUCAAGUUGAGGCUAAGCUCUGUGAGUAUGAGAUAGAGGAGCAAGGGAGUUAAGGGUGUAUGCAUGUGAUGAUGACUGGCCAAGUAAGCUGCUUAAGGAGAAGAGGGUACUUGAGAGGGGUGAGAGAUGUGAAAAAGUGGUGUUAUCAGUGGACAGAAGUUCCACAUGGGGGUCAAAGGAUCACUGGAGAUGGGGUCCUAGAGAGACUGAGCUGAAAAGGGGUCAGUGGUUAGAGAGUAGGGUGUCUGAGUUCAUAGAAGAUUUCAGUUAUUGGUAGUAAGUAAGUUCAAAGUUACCACCAAAAUUGCAGCUGAGGCAAAGUAGAAGACAAAAUUUUCAAAGGAGAGAUCCAGUGAACUCCAAGGCCGUGCAGCUGGAAGGAUCAUCUUUGUAUCUGUCACCAAGAAGUAUAACUGUGGUGAUGGUAGAGAGUGAGACAGGAACUAAGAUCUGAAAGGAACAAAGGGAAAUUGAGGGGACUGUAUACUAGAAGACUGCAACAAGUACCCAGGUAACUGAUGACAUGUUUUUAAUGGAAGAAGCAGAGGAGAAUGGAUGAGCAGCAUCCCAUGAGGACAAGCAUCCAUUGAGGACAUUGAGGACAAGGAAAUCUACUCUGCCUCCAGGCACAGUGGUAUACUAGGUGUGGGAGAGAAAAGAGCCACUACUUGAGAGGGCUAUAGAGGUAGCAGUGUCAUCAGAACUCACAAACUCCAAAGUCUGACAGUGGAAGUUCAGAGGGCUAGGCAUUUUCACAAAUUAAUACUCAUUUUUCUUAACCCACAGAAGUCCUCAUGCUAGAGAUGUAAAAAGGCAUAUUCCUAUAAGAAAAACAGCCAUGAAACAUCAUAAUCGUGACCGAGAAGAAUUUUUGGAUUGAAGUUGAAGACUAG
rnacentral:lncRNA from 1 species